rnacentral:rRNA from 1 species
UAAUACGGAGGGUGCAAGCGUUAUCCGGAUUCACUGGGUUUAAAGGGUGCGUAGGUGGUCUGUUAAGUCAGCGGUGAAAGCCUGGAGCUCAACUCCAGAAUUGCCAUUGAUACUGACGGACUUGAAUCAAGUUGAGGUGGAUGGAAUAUUACAUGUAGCGGUGAAAUGCUUAGAUAUGUAAUAGAACACCAAUUGCGAAGGCAGUUCACUAAGCUUGCAUUGACACUGAGGCACGAAAGCGUGGGGAUCAAACAGGAUUAGAUACCCUGGUAGUCCACGCCCUAAACGAUGCAAACUCGACAUUAGCGAUAUACAGUUAGUGUCCAAGCGAAAGCGUUAAGUUUGCCACCUGGGAAGUACGACCGCAAGGUUG